rnacentral:rRNA from 1 species
GGCUUAUUGAUAUUAAUUUUAAGUCUAUCUGCCCAAUGAUUUAAUUAUUUAAUGGCUGCAGUAUAAUUGACUGUACAAAGGUAGCAUAAUCAAUUGUUUUUUAAUUGAAAACUAGAAUGAAAGAAUUAAUGAGAUAUAUACUGUCUCAUAUAUAUUUAAUUAAUUUAAAUUUUUAGUAAAAAUGCUAAAAUAUGUUUAUGGGACGAUAAGACCCUAUAGAAUUUUAUAUUUAUAUUUAGAUUAAAAUUAUUUUGAAUAUAAAUAUUUAGUUGGGAGGAUUGGUAAAUUUAAUAAACUUUAUUUUAAAUAUAAACUUUUAUUUAAGAAUAAUUAAUUGAUCUUGUAUUAUAAAUUAAAAGAAUAAAUUACCUUAGGGAUAACAGCGUAAUAUCUUUUUAAAGGUCAUAUUAAUAAAGAUGAUUGCGACCUCGAUGUUGAAUUAAGAUAAAUUUUAAAUGCAGAAGUUUAAUGAUUAAGUCUGUUCGACUUUUAAAAUCUUACAUGAUUUGAGUUCAAAUCGACGUGAGU